AUUGAACGCUGGCGGCAGGCCUAACACAUGCAAGUCGAACGAGUGGCGGACGGGUGAGUAAUGUAUGGGAAACUGCCUGAUGGAGGGGGAUAACUACUGGAAACGGUGGCUAAUACCGCAUACCAUCGGAUGUGCCCAGAUGGGAUUAGCUAGUAGGUGGGGUAACGGCUCACCUAGGCGACGCUCCCUAGCUGGUCCGAGAGGAUGAGCAGCCACACUGGAACUGAGACACGGCCCAGACUCCUACGGGAGGCGGCAGUGGGGAAUAUUGCACAAUGGGCGCAAGCCUGAUGCAGCCAUGCCGCGUGUAUGAAGAAGGCCUUCGGGUUGUAAAGUACUGUCAGCGGGGAGGCGUUACCCGCAGAAGAAGCACCGGCUAACUCCGUGCCAGCAGCCGCGGUAAUAC
rnacentral:rRNA from 1 species